rnacentral:rRNA from 1 species
GAGUUUGAUCAUGGCUCAGAUUGAACGCUGGCGGCAUGCCUUACACAUGCAAGUCGAGCGGAUGACGGGAGCUUGCUCCUUGAUUCAGCGGCGGACGGGUGAGUAAUGCCUAGGAAUCUGCCUGGUAGUGGGGGACAACGUAGCGAAAGUUACGCUAAUACCGCAUAUUCUGUGAGCAGGAAAGCGGGGGACCUUCGGGCCUCGCGCUCUUGGAGCGGCCGAUGUCGGAUUAGCUAGUUGGUGAGGU